ensembl:misc_RNA 7SK 7SK RNA
GGGAUGAGUGCGAUCUGGCUGUGACAUCUGUCACCUCAUUGAUUUCGAGGGCUGAUUCGGCUGAUCUGGCUCACUAGGCGGGUGUCCCCUUGCUCCCUCAUAGAUCCAUGUGUGUCCCUCCCGAAGCUGAGUGCUAGGUCGAAGAGGAUGACCUUUCCUGAAUAGAGGAGGACCAGUCAAGGGUAUAUGAGUAGCUGCGCUCCCUUGCUAGAAACUCCAAACAAGCUCUCUCCUGAUCAUUUUCAAUCUUAGUUUUUAUUGAUAUAUAUUGCCAAUUUUCCUUAUUUUUGUGAAGUUCAUACAUGUGUGCAAUGAAAUAGUAUAUAUAUAUAU